CUAAGCCCAAUUAUUUCAUAAAUACAAUAAUAAUUCGAGAAUGGCAAAGGUAAAAUAGUAUGAUAGCCAUGACAACACUUGAAAAUCAUAACUGUCAUAAUUGAGCGAAGGACUAGAAUCCAGCUUUUAAUAAAAUAUAUAUAAAAAUAAUGUACCCGGUCGAGCAGGAAUAGUAGAGUACUGUUUUGUAUAAGCAAUUGUUUAGUUGGAGGAAGGACUGUUGGAUGUUGCGCGCAUACAAUGACUUUGGUAUGGUACCUUGGUUGGGCGAGACAUCAACAAAAUAUCACAGCACCGGCAGGGUUUCUGGGUGACAUUGUUAUUAGGGACGAUGUAGAAUAUACGUAAUAAGAAAAUAAUGUUGUUUUAUUUUAUAAACA
rnacentral:misc_RNA from 1 species